AGAAACUCUUGUCAUUUUUCUCACUGGUUCAGUAAAAUUGCACUUGGAAACUUCAAUGGAAUCUUCUCUCUACCGUCCCGGUUGCAGGCCAGAACACCCAGUUUCUUCUUUUUUCCUGUGGGGCUUAACACUUUAAGGAAUGUAGCACCAAAGAAAGAAAAGUUAGUAACACGGUUUACUCCCUGCAGCCUAGUUGGCUGUUUGUGUCUCUCUAUGCAAAGCAUUCACCCCAGAAAGGAACGUGCACAGCUCUGGGCAUCCCAGAAAACAAACCAUCCCAAUGCCAGGUAACUCAGUCAAGCACAGAGGGAACUCAGAUCUAUUUUUCUUCCUUUGUUUUAGAACAAAUGAUGCCCGUAAGUGCUCAAAUCUGAGUGGGGAAAAAGGAGGGUGUUAGAAGAAACAAAAUAAGUGGUGUUGCAAUCGUGUUUUCUUCCUUUCCCAGGGCUCUGUGUGCACCCCACCCUCAUGGCAGCCCGGCCAAGAACAGGAGAUGAUUCUUGACUAAAGCCUCCAAAAUGAGACCCCCGUUUUUGUUCCUCCCUGGGGUUCCCUGGGGACAGGGGUUCCCUGGGUCCAGUGAUGAAG
rnacentral:lncRNA from 10 species